UCCCGGUUGCUCCGGGCAGUCUCGUCAGAGAAGUACAACUGACGACAGGGGUUGCGCUCGUUGCGGGACUUAACCCAACACCUCACGGCACGAGCUGACGACGGCCAUGCAGCAUCUGUGAUGAGACCCCGAAAGGAGACCGGCUUUCACCGGCUGUCCUCACCAUGUCAAGCCCUGGUAAGGUUCUUCGCGUCGCUUCGAAUUAAACCGCACGCUCCGCUGCUUGUGCGGGCCCCCGUCAAUUCCUUUGGGUUUUAGCCUUGCGGCCGUAGUCCCCAGGCGGAGUACUUAUCGCGUUAGCUUCGUUACCGAGGGGGUCGAUACCCCCGACAACUAGUACUCAUCGUUUACGGCGUGGACUAC
rnacentral:misc_RNA from 1 species